rnacentral:lncRNA from 1 species
UGGGCUUCUCUUAUUUCAGAAGCUAGCCUAUGCAUGGUGUUUGACUUGACCUUCUCUGAUCUAUUUCAGAUUGAGAACAUCACACACUACAUGAGGAAUUCACAAGAAUGAUUCUUUUCAUACUUUUUAACAACAUUUAUCAACAUUUUUACUAGUCUGUCUGUGUAUUUAACACAACGAAGGUUUUUGAUAGGGGAUCAUUGUAACACACGAUUGUUAGUGUCACCAUUAAGAAAUGGCAUGCUCCCAAUACGGAAUCUAUUUAAACAAAACUAAAAUGAUAAGAAUUGGAUUUUCAACGUCAUUUUAGACAAGAAUUAACCCGAGUGUCUUCCAUCCAUCUGCCUCAGCUGCUCCUCGGCCCCCGACUCACGACUCACCCGUCAUCCAGACAGCGCGCAGAGCAAGGCGCCGGGUCAAGGUCACGGACACCCUCGGGUGGAUGCAGCCGGAGGAGAGAGGAGGCGCCGGCGCCGACGCACCCGAUGAACCACGGCAGAUGGUCGUCCAUCCUGAUCCCGGUUCUUCUCGAAAAAAGGUCUUGAGUGCUUUCAGGAAACCCACACAAACAGAGCUGCAUUGCUGUUCCCAUGUCCUCGCCACAUACAGGCCGCCAUCCCUCCCUCGGACCCCGGGUCUGAGCAAGAGGAUGCCGGCUAAAGCCCCAGUGGAGGCAGCGCCUAAAACCACCACGAUCUGGACAUGAAGGUACAUGUGAGGAUGACCAGGACCCAGCUGCUAUAUAAACCUGAUCAAAACAUCCCCUUAUCACUGUUGUCUUAUGUAAUGACAACAUGAUCAUAUGGAUAUUACAACGUAAUGAGCCCCUGACCUUUGCACUACUUAUUUCUUUGAUGCAUUGAUGCAUCUCGGGGCUUUGCAGCAUUCGGCCUGUCUCCACGCACAACGUGUCAAA